UCCUAUCCCUUUGGGUGUUUUGCAGGUGAGCACUGUCAUACCCGCCUGAAGUGCACUGCUGCUGGGCGCCCGCGGAUCAGGGGUGGCUGCCAUGCAGUACGCAUCAACGAUAGGCGUAGCAAUAGUUCCACUCUCCUCCCUUGGGGGAAUUAUGUUUUUUGCUAAUGAAGUGCAAAACUCCUCUUCAUGUAGUUCAUUGGCUUCGGGGCGAGUAGUGGAGAGGACACGGGCGUGCAGUUCCCCCGUCCCCGUAGUUGUCCACUGAACCUGUAGAAGCCCAUCUUGCUGCAGUGUAUAUGAGCAUAUGGCCCGCAAGUGCUGCUCUUGAGUCCCAUAUUGCAGAACAUUGCCGUGUGGUUCGGUGACCAUCGACGCGCACUUUGCUUUGGGGGUCUGUAUGUUCUUUGUGGAUGUGCACCUCGUUCGGCUCGAGCGGCAUGAAGCUCAGUUUCACGCACGUGCGGCUCGGCUACCUAUUUCGUGCAGUUCGCUGGAUACAUUUUUAAUGUGCUUCCUGCCUAUUACUUAAUUUUGCUUCAGUUCACUUGUUUGUAUUUAUUCAAACAUCAUGUAGUUCACUCUGGAACUCUUUGUUGUUCACUUGUAAAAAAAUAGCAGUUCACUUUCUAAAAAUAAGUACAGAGCCUUAGUGGUUGACCUUGUAAAAAAGGAGAAAGACAUCCCCACAGGAGGUUCACUUCGUUUUUAAUGAAAGUUGUUUAGUUUGUGGGACG
rnacentral:lncRNA from 1 species